ACAUUAAUUAUAUUAUUAUCUCUCUCAACAGCUGAUAGUAAGUAUUUAAAAAAAUACAUUGAAAUUAAUUAAAUAAGUUGACAAUAUAUAGAUCGUCUUGAUGUUUGUCUUACAGUUGACUUUAACAAUCUCAUUAAACUUUUGUCUCAUAUUUUUAGAUAACGGUAAGACAAAUGUAAUGUUUUGAAAAACUGCGCUUUUUUGUAAUUAUGAUGAAUUAUAGUAUUUUUUUUUUUGAAAUGCAAACGUUUGAACAAUCCAAACUUGGAAAAAACGUUAAUAUGUCUGAAAAUUUUCGGUUUUUAAGUUAGAACCCGAACACAAUAUGACUGAAAUGAAAUGAAACAUAGUACAAAUAGAUGUUAUGUUUAAAUAUACAUAUACAGGGUCACUGGUAUCUAACGCAUAACCUUCCCAAGGCGCAUAAGGUACAUAGAGAAUAACAUCUUUUGUUCUACGACUUUUGUCUAAACGUAAUAAAUACAAACAUUUUCCUAUUUUUCCUUUUAAUGUCGUUUCUAUAAAACGAUAACUCUAUGUUCGAUUCCGCAAGCAACGCGACACCGUACAGACUUUACUGUUGCGUUGCUUGGCUAUUACACAGAGUUAAGAUUUGUAUUAGAUAGGAGGCUGUAAGAACGGUCAAUAAUUUUGAUUUUAAAAUGUUUUAAUAAUUCUCGUACAAGUUAUCUAUAUAUUCUACUAUAUUAUAACAUUUACUCUAUAUAUUACAGGAAAAAGUGAGUUUCUUUUAAGUAUAUUGCUAAAUAGGGCUGGUUCGUUUUAUAAGCAUCGUACACUCAAACGCACUUCAUGUUAACCUUCAUGGAUCUCCAUGUUAUGAAAAUAACGGCGAAUUUGAAAUAAUUUUGGGUAGUUUGAUGUGCUGUUGACUGUACCAGCUCAGUUUCAUGUAUGUGGGUACUCUCUCUGUAUGCAGUUAUGAACAUUAUUGGCAACUUAAAAUGUAUACUGUCAAUGUGUCAUGAAUAAUUUGGCAAUGUAAUAAAAACAUGUAAAAUACAUUAUCUAAAUAUUACAGUUAACACAUGGAAAGAAAAUGUGUUUUUUUUUUUAAUUUUCUUCAUUUGUAUAUUGUCUAAGUAGGUAUAUGAAAAAUCUAUUAUUUAUUUUAAAAACUGUUUUUGACAGCGCAAUGUAAGUUAUCUAAUAUUUAAUAAUAAUUUUAUUUAUUGUAACACAAAUGUCAUAAUAUAUAUUAUAAUCAUGUGUUUCACAUUUUUGUACUAUUUCCACAACAUUGAAGUAAUUUAAAUUCAGCAAAAUUCAUAUUUUACACAAUACAAUAUAAUUUGAAUGUUUGUAUACUUAUUAAUAUAUAAUUUGUUUUACAGUUCACGGUAAUAUUUACACAAUAAAAAUACGUAAAUGUAUAUCGUCUCAUUUGAUUUCUUUUUAAUCUAUUUUUUUAUUUUAGCUAGAGGUUUGUAUUUGUCUAUGUAUCAUAGUUUGAAAAUUUUUCAUUUUGGAGAUUUCAUACAAAUUAAAAAUUUAAUAAAAUUAAUAUUUUUCAGGAUGGAAGUGUAAGUAUUGCAUGAAUAUAAUGAGUUAUUCAAAUUCAAAAUUCUUUAUUCACUUAUUGACGUCAAAAAAUUACUUAAACUAAGUCUACUGCCGGCUUCCAAAGCGCAGGUGAAGAAGAAGCGGCGCAAUAAACUUCACCGCAGCCUUUUCUCCAAGGACGUCAAUUAAAAAAAUGUCAACAUUUAAAUGAAUAAAUAAAAUAAAAGUUGUAUUUCCAAUAAAAUUAUUGAAAAUUGACACAAAAAAAAAUAUAUAUAUAUAAUAUAUAAAGCUAAAUGUACAAAACGUACGUAAUAAUGUCAUAAACCAAUUACAUAUGUAAUGAGGAUACUGCACCACGCUUGGGCCAAACAUUAUGAUCAUAAUAUUAUAAAUUAAAACGAGUUUUGUGUUUUUAAAUAUUUCAUUUUAUUAUUUCAGGAAAUUGUAAGAUAUUUUCGUUUUUUAAUUAUAAUUGGAAUCCUUUGUAAUUUUUUUUUACAAAAAUUAAAUAUUUCUUUAUUUUUUAUAUAUAUGUAAUUUCGUUAGUAUAAAUAAAUUUACUUCAUCUCAUUUUUCAAUAUAUGGAAGUAAAUGCUUUUAAAAAUAUAUAUAUAAGUCACUAACACACACGUUUUAAUGAAACUAUUAUUUUUCUUUCAAGGAAUUAGUAGUAAGUUUUUUUUUUUUACAUUAUCUAUUAAAAAAAAAUAAGUACACAAUUUAAAGCUUGAACAAGGUCGGUCUAGCUUCAUGGCAACUUCUUAUGAACUUUACCGGUUCCUUAUAGAACUCCGUGCUCCUCUUCCUUGUGAUUCCUUUACUAUCCUUUCCUUUGCAGAUUUUAAAUAUAUUAAAGCUCUUGCUUCUUUCCUUUCUUACCAUAAUAUUUAUGUUUAAAACUAUUUAUUUACCCUUACAUUACAUAUGAUAAUAUAUGUAUUUAUUUCCCCUCAUUCUUCAACACCGCCUAAGUCCUAUCCUAUCGUCCAAUAACAAUGUAACUUGGCAAAAAUAAGCUCUAUUGAAGAACUUUGAUUGCCACAAAGAAGAAAAGAAAAAAAAACUUCUUAUGAAGCUACUGAAUUGGCUCGGUUGUAGCAAGAAAAUAUUUCAUAGCUAGUGGUGAAGUCUUUCCGGUUUCGCCGCCGACAUGCAACGAAAACUAUUAUUCUAAUGAUUUAUUUGUAAAAUAAGUGUAUGUUGAUGAUAUAAAUCUAUAUGUACUAGAUAAUAUAUAUUUUUUUUUUUACAGUCAGAGGUAAGAAAAAUCAUAAAUUAUAAUUUUACAAAAAAAAAAAAACUUGAAACAUUUACAAUGUAAAUAUCACUGCAUUUUGGAAAUAUUUCAGCUCUGGGUGAGAUUUCAUUUUAUAAAAAUAUUAUUAUUUUAUAUUGUUUGAUGAAAAAAAUAAAUAACUUCAUUACAUUAUUUUACAGAGAACAGUAAGUUUUAUGCAAUUAUUAAGUGUAAUUUCCAUAAUAAUUACUUUCGGAAAUAAAUUAGUUUCCUAUUAAAAAAAACAAAUAUUUUAUUACUUUACAGUACUACGUGAGUAGAAUAAUAAAAAAAGCAAUUUAUAGAUAAUUAUUGUUUUUUCUUUUAUUAAUAAAUUAUUUUUGUUUUUCCACAGACAAUGGUUAGUGAAUAUUUCGAGAUUAUUCGUUCUUUGUUUAAAGGGCAUAGUCUUUCUUUACAUUUAUUGUUUGUAUUUUCGUAUUUUUUAAAUUAAUAUUAUUAUUUUAUUAUUUUCUUCUUGCAGCCAGCUACAAUUGUAAGUACCGAUAACAUAUUAUUAUUUUAUAUUUACAUUUGUCUUUAUAUAUAUAUAUAUACAUAUACUACUUUAUGUAUAUUUUACGUUUAAUUGUUACCUUCAAUAAGACAAAUAUAAUCAAGCGAGAGAGAUUUUUAUAAAUUGAUAAUAUUAAUUUUUAGCCCGGAGUAAGUUUAUUGCAGUUUUUUUUUAUUUGUUGAUAGAGUAUUAUGAAAAAUUUUUGAGUAAUACAAGUAGUUACAGAGAUUUUUUUGAGACGUAUAGGUACUUAGUAAGUGUGAAUAACCUUGAAGAUAAUAAUUUAAAAAUAUUCUUUUAUCAAUAAGCACCUGAAAAUUAUUAAACUUUUUUUUUUAAUUCACAGUGCGGUUGCAUCACUCGCGGUCCUUUAUCCCGAUUGAAGUUGAUCGGGAAUAUACAUUUUAAGAGAAUAAAGGUGACGCCCCCAGUGCCCCCAGUGGCCACGGAGUCAACCCAGUCUACAAUAUGUCCGCCAUGCCCAACGUGUCCUACGUGCGGUCCCGGGAGAUAUUAGAAUACUGUUAGAUUUAGUGUUGUUGAUGUUUAGCUUACUAUCGAUAGUUGUUUCCCUGAAUAGUAGUAACUAGUAACGCCAUUUAGUUUAUAAAGCGCCAUUGACCAAUUCCUUUUUUGCACAGUAACGCCAUCUAGUUUACGAAGCGCCAUUGACAGUAAGACUUUUUGACCAAUUCCUACGGGAAUCGCGUACUUUCGGGAUAAAUAGUAUCAUAUGUGUUAAUCCAAGUUAUCAGCUACCUCAAUAUCAAAUUUCAUAAAAAUUGUCCGCGCCGUUUGAUCGUGAAGAAGUAAAAAAUUACUUUCGCUUGUGUAGGGAUUGUGUGUUAUUCCAAGUGUCCAAGAUAACGUCGCAUAUGAUCGUUUGCGUCGAUCGUUCUUUGGAAAUUGCUGACUGUAGGUACCAAUUCCGAGAAUAGUAUCGAUACAGUUGAUUUUCUACUUUCCCGAGUCGACAAUCGAUAGUAAAACUAAGUAUUGUAUAUUUUACAACACCCAAUUUAAGAAAUCUGUUAUAAUGGAAUAAAAAUUGUAUUUGAAGCUU